rnacentral:rRNA from 1 species
CAGCCGCCGCGGUAAGACAGAGGCCUCAAGCGUUGUUCGGAUUCAUUGGGCGUAAAGGGUGCGUAGGCGGUUCCGUAAGUCGGAUGUGAAAUCCUGGGGCUCAACCCCGGAACUGCAUUCGAUACUGCGGGGCUAGAGGACUGGAGAGGAGAGUGGAAUUCACGGUGUAGCAGUGAAAUGCGUAGAUAUCGUGAGGAAGACCAGCGGCGAAGGCGGCUCUCUGGACAGUUCCUGACGCUGAUGCACGAAGGCCAGGGGAGCAAACGGGAUUAGAUACCCCGGUAGUCCCUGUCUCUUAUAC